GGUUAAGCGACUAAGCGUACACGGUGGAUGCCCUGGCAGUCAGAGGCGAUGAAGGACGUGCUAAUCUGCGAUAAGCGUCGGUAAGGUGAUAUGAACCGUUAUAACCGGCGAUUUCCGAAUGGGGAAACCCAGUGUGUUUCGACACACUAUCAUUAACUGAAUCCAUAGGUUAAUGAGGCGAACCGGGGGAACUGAAACAUCUAAGUACCCCGAGGAAAAGAAAUCAACCGAGAUUCCCCCAGUAGCGGCGAGCGAACGG
rnacentral:rRNA from 1 species